GUCCCCCACACCCCCGCCCCAAGCUCUGAGUCCUCUGGCCGACCCGUCCCGACUGACCCCAGGGUCCCAGACUUGGAGCUGCCCUCUCUUCUCAGGCUUGAGUUCCCGUUCCCGGGCCCGCAGGAUCCCCCAGAUCUGCCUCAGCCUCCCCCACGCGCCCCCGCCGCGCCGUCAAAACCGCAGCCCAGGGCAGUGUCACUCCCGAAACGUUCUGCCCGGAUCCAAAGCUAGACCUGAACACGGUGCUUGGCACACUCGGGGCGCUCAUCAGCCGUGCUGAGCGCGUGGGGGUGCGGGCCGCGGGAACGGCCCGCCCACUCCAGGAACAAGCCGAGAACCGCAGCCACCCCAGUACCUCUCCGAGAACGACGGGCCGGCGGCCGGGGCGGCGGCCUCGCGGUGCUGAGCCAGGCCCUGCUUCCGACGCUGACCUGCCGUGGAGGAGGGCAGGCUCUUGGUGCCUGAGCUGCCCUGGGGGACGGUGUCUGGUGUGAGGAAUCCUGCCUCCUUUCCCGGCGCCCCCACCCACCUCUAGCCAGAAAAGCCCAGCUCCCCUGCCAGGAGGCGGCUGGGGCCUGGGAGGCUGCGUGCAGCAGGGCAAGGCGUCUGGCUGCAUCCCGGAGUGACCCUGCAGAACGUCAUGAGGCUCCUGGGGCAGCCGUAUGGCAGGUCAGCUCCCGGCUGGAGAGACGACUGAGACCCUAACCCUGUGGUCUGGAAGCUUGCUCGCCUGUGGAGGCGCUCCUUAGAUGCCCACCGCCCACCCUCACCUGGGCCCACCCUCACCUGGGUCCACCCCGACUCCAUUUCUCCAUAUAUAAAAUGCUGGGGAAGUGCGGCGGCCACACCGAUCAAUCCCACAUUACAGCUGACAGAGCGGUGCUAAUAACUUAUUGAUUCUGGCCGGGCAGCCGUCAGGCCCAGCCCCAGAGACAGGGUCAAUCCCAUGGCCUGGUCCAGGGUCCCCGCCUCAGUGACAGAUUGGGGGACAC